AUUGAAUGCUGGCGGCAGGCCUAACACAUGCAAGUCGAACGAGUGGCGGACGGGUGCGUAAUGUCUGGGAAACUGCCUGAUGGAGGGGGAUAACUACUGGAAACGGUAGCUAAUACCGCAUACCAUCUGAUGUGCCCAGAUUGGAUUAGCUAGUAGGUGGGGUAACGGCUCACCUAGGCGACGAUCCCUAGCUGGUCUGCGAGGACGACCAGCAACACUGGAACGGAGACACGGGCCAGAGUCCUACGGGAGGCAGCAGUGGGGAAUAUUGCACAAUGGGCGCAAGCCUGAUGCAGCCAUGCCGCGUGUAUGAAGAAGGCCUUCGGGUUGUAAAGUACUUUCAGCGGGGAGGCGGUACCCGCAGAAGAAGCACCGGCUAACUCCGUGCCAGCAGCCGCGGUAAUAC
rnacentral:rRNA from 1 species